UGGGGAAUUUUGGACAAUGGGCGCAAGCCUGAUCCAGCCAUGCCGCGUGCAGGAUGAAGGCCUUCGGGUUGUAAACUGCUUUUGUACGGAACGAGAAGGUGCCUUCUAAUAAAGGGCGCUCAUGACGGUACCGUAAGAAGAAGCACCGGCUAACUACGUGCCAGCAGCCGCGGUAAUACGUAGGGUGCGAGCGUUAAUCGGAAUUACUGGGCGUAAAGCGUGCGCAGGCGGUUUUGUAAGACAGAUGUGAAAUCCCCGGGCUUAACCUGGGAACUGCGUUUGUGACUGCAAGGCUGGAGUACGGCAGAGGGGGGUGGAAUUCCACGUGUAGCAGUGAAAUGCGUAGAGAUGUGGAGGAACACCGAUGGCGAAGGCAGCCCCCUGGGCCUGUACUGACGCUCAUGCACGAAAGCGUGGGGAGCAAACA
rnacentral:rRNA from 1 species